CGAUGAAUCAAAGUUCAUUUAGACGUUGGUAUCAAUUUUUUAUUAAGAAAACUAACUAACAGAGUGUCGUCCAGGGCACGGGAUCCUUAAUGCGAAUGCUCUCACCACCUUAUUUUCCCCACACACAGAUGUGUCUACGCUUCCUCUUAUCUAUACCACACAUAUGACCUUCUCUCUCUCUCUUCUCUCAUUCUCGUUCCCUUCUUCUAUACGACGCCGCCAGUGCUAUGAAGCUCAAGCAUGGCUGGGCAGCUUAGGCAUGGCAACGUGUCCCUGAUCGGUCAACAAAGUAAGGCUCCGGUGAGGCGGCGAGGUCGAUGGUGAGGUGGAGCAGCUAAGCCGUGUGGCUAGUACAAGAUAUCAGGUCUAGUAUCUAUGGGUGGUAUGGUGCUUGUGGGCAUCAGAUCCACCCUAGUACUAGGUCUGGUGCAUAGGUAUCCAGCAAUAGUUCUCGUGCCUCAUCGGUGAUGGGCAGAGAAGUGGCUGCCGCAUGCAUCCACUAACCCGAAGCACACGGCUGAGGAACGAUGUCGAUGCAUCAGGGGUUGUGGACAUAGAGAGGGAGGCACAUGGCGGAGACGACAAUGAGUGUGUGGUGGUGGUGGCUGCCGCACGAUGGUGAUGGCCACCCUAGCAAUGCACACGGAUAUUGGGCGGCUGAAUCUCCAACAUGUCACGAGCCUACACAAAAUUUCAUCCGAAUACCCUGUGAUUAUUGACGAUUAUCAGGCAGGUUCUAUUCAGAACAUGAUCCAUUGUCACAGAGUGAAGCCGAAGUUCCGAAGAUGAGUGUGAAACAGUGAAAGGCUGGAAGAUUUUGUAAAGGGAGUGUUCGGCUUGAAGGAAAAAGUUCAAGGGCUCACAUAUGAAGGUGGUGUUUAGAUCCAGGGGUGUAAAGUUUUGGCGUGCCACAUCGGGUAUUAUAUAUACUAUCGUAUAGGGUGUUCGGGUAUUAAUAAAAAAACUAAUUACAGAAUCCGUUAGUAAACUGCGAGAUGAAUUUAUUAAGCCUAAUUAAUCUAUCAUUAGCAAAUAUUUACUGUAGCACCACAUUGUCAA